GCGCCCUUAGCUCAGUGGAUCAGAGCAUCUGACUACGGAUCAGAGGGUCGGGGGUUCAAAUCCCUCAGGGCGCGCCA
rnacentral:tRNA from 1 species